UACUUGCAUGACCUAAUUUCCUAUGCCAAAGCCAAGCAUCAUCAUUUAAAGUGGAGAGGCACAUUUCAUUACUUAGUUCAUCAAGGUUGAUGUUCUAGACAUUAUUUUGUUUCAAAACAAUCAUUGACAUGUUAUUGUUUGUGUAAUAUCCCUCGCUUUUAAAAAAUUAUUAAUAAAGAUUUAUAUGUAAAUUGGAGGACCUAUAUGUAAAUAUAGAAAUUACAAGGACUAAACUGCUAAGUUGCAAAAAAGAAAAAAAAAAAAAAGGGAAAACCGAAAAUUCGGUAUUAUCCCACCGCCUCCCACGCACUCUGUUUCUUCCAGAAACAGAGAGAGCGGUGGGGCGUGAGGACAAGAAGGAGAGUGGUAGAAGAAGAGAGGAAGAAGAGGGAGAAGAGAAGAAGAAGAAGGAGAAGAAGAAGAAGAGGAGGUGGCUGCAGCGAGGGCUGCAGCGAGAAGCUGUGGGGCGUGGGGAGAAGAAGAGAGGAAGAAGAGGGAGAAGAGAAGAAGAAGAAGAAGAAGAAGAGAAGAGGAUAGCUGCGGCAAGGCUGCAGCGAGGAGGUGUGUGGGGUUGGGGAGGAAAAGGGAAGAGGAGAAGAAGAGGGAAAAGAGAGGGAAGAGGGAGAGGAGCGAGAGGUGGCAGCAGCUAGGGCUGCAGCACCUCUGUUUCCUGCAGGUGGAAACAGAGGAGAGGUGUGGGGCGUUCGAAGAGGAGAAGAAGAAGAAGAGGAAGAGAAGAGGAAGAGGAAGCAGGGGAAGAGGUUGUGAUACCUCUGUUUCCUGCAGAGGAAACAGAGGAGAGGGUGUGUGUGACGCCGGGAAGAAGAAGGGGAGGAAGGAGAAGAAGAGAAGAAGAAGAAAGGAAGGAGAAGGAAGAGGAGAAGGGAAAGAAGUAGCUGCGGCUGCGGCUGUGGCAGCUGCAGCUAUGGCAGGGAAAGAGGAAGAGAAAGGAAGAAGGGAAGGAGAGGAAGAAGAGAAGGGAAAGAAGGGGCUGCGGCUGCGGCGAUGGCAGCUGCAGUUGGAAGAGAAGAAGGAGAGGAAGAUGAGCAGGGGAGGAAGAAAAGGCUGUGGCCGUGGCUGAGGCUGCGACUGCAGCAUGCAGCUGGGAAAGAAGAGAAGGAAAGGAAGAAGAAGAGAAAGGAAGAAGGGAAGGAGAGGAAGAAGAGAAGGGGCUACGGCUGCGGCGAUGGCAGCUGCAGUUGGAAGAGAAGAAGGAGAGGAAGAUGAGCAGGGGAGGAAGAAGAGGCUGCGAGUGUGGUGGCUGCGGCCGUGGCUGCGACUCCGGCUGCGGCUGCGACGUUGGCUGCGGUAGCUGCGGCAGCGGUGGUGGCUGCAGUAGCUGCAGUAGCUGCUUUUGGGAAAGAGAAAGAGUAGGAACGAGAGAAGGGAGGAAGGAAGGUAGUGCUUUGGAAGGGGCUGCGAUUGUGGCAGCGGCAGCGGCGACGGCUGUGGCAGCUGCGUUGGGAAAGAAAAAGAAGGAAUGAGAGUAAGAGAGAGCAGGUGACUAUGCCUCGAUGUUCGACACGUGGUGUAGUUGCGAAGAAAGGAAGAAAACGGGAGCACAAAACGAAACAGAGAGAGGACACGGAGGAUUUGGGCUAGCACCUUCUUUGGAUCUUCGGAUCGAAAUCCUUGAAAGGUCAGCUUGUCACUCUUCGAGAUGUUGAUUUGGGCUGAGGCAGUGGAUAGCUAUUCAGAAUUAUGGGCAAGUCUGGAUGGUUAUUAUGAUAUUGUUGUAUAAGUAUGUUUUGUAUGAAAUGAAAUGUUGUCGAUGAAUCGAAAUGGAUAUACUGUGUAAAAGUGUUAGAAGAUCUCUCUUAUUUGGAAUUUCGGAAUGUUAAGUCUAAUUUAUGACGAUAUGAACUUGUGGUGAAUAGUUGGAGUUCUGAUUGUAUAAUUUAUUUAGCUUGUGGAUUUAUAAAUGUUGUUCAUGUUUGUCAAGUUGGCUUGGGUUGCCAUAAAUGUGAAUUAUCGAGUGAUGUGAUAUAUGAUUUUAAAAUGCACAGGUUUUAUGGAUGUGAAUUUGAUUGAAUGUUUUUCAGUGUCCUCAAACGUUAGUUUGGAUCCUGGAUGGAUUGGUCUGUGAUGAAAAUUGUUUUAAUAUCAUGGAUAAUAUUUUGAGGGGCGUGACAGAGGUGGUAUCAGAGCAUUGUUUGAGGAUUACUGAAAUAUUUGAUAUGUUGACAUGCAAAAUAUAUUGAGGUCUAGUGAACUAUAGUGAUUGGUAGAAAUUUUCUUUGAUGUAUUUUAGGAAUCUGGGAUGAUGAGGACAUUUGGUCCUCCUAUUUCAAUUGUUUCUGAUUAAUUAAGAGGAAUGAAAGGAUUGAUUGGGGAUAUUCAAUCAGAGUGGCGCAGCGGAAGCUUGGUGGACCUAAUUUCAUUGGUGGUAGAAAAAUGAAUGAUGCAAACGGAGAAGAUAUAUGAUGUACAAAAUUGUUUUGAUACUCGAAAGAUUUCUUUUGCCACGUUAUAUUGGAAGUAAAGACUUAUUAUUGAUGGCAACAAUGAAAAGAAUUUUUGAAGAUCAAUGGCAAGAAUGACAAGAACAAGUUUACCAAUAAGAAUAUGAUUGGAAAUGAAUCAGAAAGUAAUGACAAGAGGGUCAAGACAUUUGGAUUUGAAAAGGAAAGUCACCACCAAAGACUUAAUCAUGUGUGAAUUACAAGUUAAAUUAUGAAACAAGUUUGUGUUUUCGGGUGAUUGGAGUCUAUUUUGCUUGUAGAAAGUUAGAUCAUAAGAUAAAAGUUUGCCCUUUGAACAAGAAGAAAGAGUCACUGCCUCCUAAAUCAUCAGCCCAUGUCAGAGUGUAUGCUAUCACUGAAUAUGAUUCUAAGACUUCUGAAUUAGUGGUCGAAGGUAUUAUGCAUGUUUAUGAAAGAAUGCAAAUAUUUGUUUGACCAUGGGUCUCAUCUAUGAUUUGAUUCGGAAUAUUUUGCCUAUCACUUGGGUAUUCAACCUAGACCACUACAUUAUGUGCUAUAUGUAAAUACGAUCAUUAGAGAUUCUUUGAUAACGAACUUGAAUCUGGUCCUCUUGUCUGAUUUUUAUUGGAGAACUUGAACUUUUGCUGAUUUAGUUCUCCUAGAGAUUUGGAGUUUUGAUAUUAUACUUGGUAUAGAUUGGCUAUCUUUCUAUCAUACCAGUAUGGAUUGGUAUAUAACCAAUGAUCACUUUUUGCAUAUUUGAUCAGUCGAUCUUUUAUUUUGAGAGUACUGGACAUCAUUUAUCUCCUUGCCUAAUGUAUCCUAGGAUGACUUGUUUGGAUUACCUCCAAAUGUGAUCUUGCUUUUGAUUUGGUCCUUGGGACAAUCCCAAUAUCUAAGCCUCUCUACAGAAAGAUAUCAUUUGAGUAAGUGGAAUUGGAAAAGCAACUACAAGGAUUAUUAAAUGAGGAUUUUAUUUGGCUUAAUAUUUCAUCAUGGGGUGCUCCGGUGUUAGUUAAAAAGAUGUAUGGAACAUUGAGGCUUUGUAAUGAUUAUAGACAAUUGAAUCAGGUGACAAUCAAAAAUGAGUAUUUCCUGAAGUAACGACUUGCUUGAUUAACUGUAGGGUGCGCAAGUAUUUUUAGAAAAAUUGCUUGAAGGUCGGGUUACCGUCUAUUGAGGAUCAAGGAGGAGAAUAUUUCGGUCCCUCGUGGAUAAUUAUGUAAUUGUAUUGUAUUGAUGAAACUAUUUAAGAGCAGGAGGAGGAAAUAGAGAUAUCAUAAUCCUCAUCUUUUCAUCGAUUGAGCUAUGAUCAAUUUAGAGGACUAAAUUUUCUUUUAAGGAGGGGAGAGUGUAAUAUCCCUCGCUUUUAAAAAAUUAUUAAUAAAGAUUUAUAUGUAAAUUGGAGGACCUAUAUGUAAAUAUAGAAAUUACAAGGACUAAACUGCUAAGUUGCAAAAAAGAAAAAAAAAAAAAAGGGAAAACCGAAAAUUCGGUAUUAUCCCACCGCCUCCCACGCACUCUGUUUCUUCCAGAAACAGAGAGAGCGGUGGGGCGUGAGGACAAGAAGGAGAGUGGUAGAAGAAGAGAGGAAGAAGAGGGAGAAGAGAAGAAGAAGAAGGAGAAGAAGAAGAAGAGGAGGUGGCUGCAGCGAGGGCUGCAGCGAGAAGCUGUGGGGCGUGGGGAGAAGAAGAGAGGAAGAAGAGGGAGAAGAGAAGAAGAAGAAGAAGAAGAAGAGAAGAGGAUAGCUGCGGCAAGGCUGCAGCGAGGAGGUGUGUGGGGUUGGGGAGGAAAAGGGAAGAGGAGAAGAAGAGGGAAAAGAGAGGGAAGAGGGAGAGGAGCGAGAGGUGGCAGCAGCUAGGGCUGCAGCACCUCUGUUUCCUGCAGGUGGAAACAGAGGAGAGGUGUGGGGCGUUCGAAGAGGAGAAGAAGAAGAAGAGGAAGAGAAGAGGAAGAGGAAGCAGGGGAAGAGGUUGUGAUACCUCUGUUUCCUGCAGAGGAAACAGAGGAGAGGGUGUGUGUGACGCCGGGAAGAAGAAGGGGAGGAAGGAGAAGAAGAGAAGAAGAAGAAAGGAAGGAGAAGGAAGAGGAGAAGGGAAAGAAGUAGCUGCGGCUGCGGCUGUGGCAGCUGCAGCUAUGGCAGGGAAAGAGGAAGAGAAAGGAAGAAGGGAAGGAGAGGAAGAAGAGAAGGGAAAGAAGGGGCUGCGGCUGCGGCGAUGGCAGCUGCAGUUGGAAGAGAAGAAGGAGAGGAAGAUGAGCAGGGGAGGAAGAAAAGGCUGUGGCCGUGGCUGAGGCUGCGACUGCAGCAUGCAGCUGGGAAAGAAGAGAAGGAAAGGAAGAAGAAGAGAAAGGAAGAAGGGAAGGAGAGGAAGAAGAGAAGGGGCUACGGCUGCGGCGAUGGCAGCUGCAGUUGGAAGAGAAGAAGGAGAGGAAGAUGAGCAGGGGAGGAAGAAGAGGCUGCGAGUGUGGUGGCUGCGGCCGUGGCUGCGACUCCGGCUGCGGCUGCGACGUUGGCUGCGGUAGCUGCGGCAGCGGUGGUGGCUGCAGUAGCUGCAGUAGCUGCUUUUGGGAAAGAGAAAGAGUAGGAACGAGAGAAGGGAGGAAGGAAGGUAGUGCUUUGGAAGGGGCUGCGAUUGUGGCAGCGGCAGCGGCGACGGCUGUGGCAGCUGCGUUGGGAAAGAAAAAGAAGGAAUGAGAGUAAGAGAGAGCAGGUGACUAUGCCUCGAUGUUCGACACGUGGUGUAGUUGCGAAGAAAGGAAGAAAACGGGAGCACAAAACGAAACAGAGAGAGGACACGGAGGAUUUGGGCUAGCACCUUCUUUGGAUCUUCGGAUCGAAAUCCUUGAAAGGCAAGUGUUCUAACCUUUUCUAUUGCAAGCUUUCAAAUCUUUUCUCUUGCAAGUUUCCCGCUUGUUUCGAUCCUUUCUAUUGCAAGUUUCCCUGAUCGUUUCUCCUAUGAUUGCUCUGAUAUGUCUUAUUACAAGUUCCCUGAUCGUUUCUCCUAUAAUUGCUCUGAUAUGUCUUAUUGCAAGUAUCCUGAUCUUUCCUCACUGCCAAUUUUAUCUCCACAUUUGCCUUGAAUAUGAGGAACUUUGAAUUGUUCUAGCCUUGCAUUUGAUAUAUCUCCUGUUUAGACGUAACGAUUCGAAUCUGUGCAACUUCUGAGAUUCUGACCUGUUGAUACCGAGCUGCCUAUAAGUCUUUGUGGAAACUCUGAUUUGUUCAAAACUGAUUUCAUUGGAAACUAGACUCGUAGAUCUUUCUUUGAUAUAUGGAUUGAAAGAUUUGGAAUCCAAACACCUGCCCAGUUAUCUGUUGAAUCUGACAUUGUGAAUUUUGCCAACAGAGAUUUUGUUCUACGAAUCUUACUUACCAAAUUAUUUGUAACUCUCUCUGUUGGACAGUUCAAUACAUAUGAAGCCUGUCUUAUCUGAAAGUAUUAUCCAAUGAUUAUUUCUGAGUAAAUUGGAGCACGAUUGAUAGUUUGAAUCAUUUGUUCAAUGUGCCUUCUGUAUUCGGCCAGAAAUUGAGCUUGGGUCGAUUUCUCAUAUUCUGGUUUCAUUCCUUUGGAAAUUGAUAUCCUUUAGCUUUCUCAUUCAAUUGAGCUUUAUAUUACUGCUUUGAAUUCUUGUAUGCUCUUGUCCUUAAAAUUAUUGCAUUCUUGAAAACUGUUGUGUAACGUUUAUGCUAUAUCGUAUUGACUCAUAUAGGCACAUGUAUAUCCUAUUGUUCCGCAUUUGCUUUCGAUAUGUGCCUAUUCCAGUUUCAUUCCUUUGGAUAUUGAAUUCAUCUAACCUUCCUAUUUUGAAUUGAGCUCAGUAUGAAUGCUUUGAAUCCCUGUAUACUCUUGCCUUCAUUUCAUUCCAAAACUGAAUACAUUUGUGAGAGAUUGUUGCUUGCAUCGUAUUGUCUCGUAAAGGCACAUGUACGUUUGGUUGUUCCGCGUGUGCUUCCGUUAUAUGCUGCUUAUUGUUGAAACUGCCUUCUUGUA